CGUGGCUUUUCCGAGCGUACCUGCAAAUGUAAAAUGAGAGCGAUGUCUAUCCUUCGCUUUCUGCUUGUACUGAUGGUUUGUGCUUCAAUUUUACCUGCGAAAGGACAAGAUAGAGCAGAAGCCGCAUCAGCCAGGGCUGCUGCUCGAGGUCCUUGGUGGUCCGGGAACAGUUUUGGAAGGCGGCGCUGCCCUGCAGGCCAAGUUUACAAGGAAUGCGAAAGCAGCUCCUGCGGCGACUGGAAAUGCUACCAGCUGUUUCAACGAGGUGCAAGAGCGUGCACUCAAGACUGCGCAAGCGGAUGCUUUUGUCGCUGGGGCCUGUUCAGACACGACAAUGGCAGAUGCGUACCAAUAUGGCGCUGUCCGAGGCAUGCGAAUCGAGCAGAGUAGUUGCGACAAAUGAGUGCGUGGCUGAUAUGUGCAUCUACUUAGUACACCACAUCAUGCUGAGCCAAUAAACCGAUUAUGCAGCCACA